rnacentral:rRNA from 1 species
UACAGAGGUCUCAAGCGUUGUUCGGAUUCAUUGGGCGUAAAGGGUGCGUAGGCGGCGCGGUAAGUCGGGUGUGAAAUCUCGGAGCUUAACUCCGAAACUGCAUUCGAUACUGCCGUGCUUGAGGACUGGAGAGGAGACUGGAAUUUACGGUGUAGCGGUGAAAUUCGUAGAUAUUGGGAAGAACACCGGUGGCGAAGGCGGCGAGCUGGUCCAUUACUGACGCUGAGGCGCGACAGCGUGGGGAGCAAACAGG